UCAAUCUCGUUCGACCGUCUUCAGUUUCGUGCCCUCUAUCCCUCCUCGCGACUGCACCGGAACCGCCACCGCACGCGGCGGCGAUCGAUUUUGGCCCUCCCCCUCUCCCCCCUCUCUCCGCCGCUUCGGUUUUUCCAUGCGUAGCUCGGACAAAUAAUGGAGGAUUUAAAACAUAAAUCUAGGAAGGAGGCAGAAUCAAAGAAAGCUCAUCGAGAUCAUGAUCAUGAUCGGGAAAGAGAAAGGGAGAGGAAUGGGGAGAGACAUCGAGAUAAGGAGAAGGAAAAGAAAGAGCGCGAUAGUCGACGUUUUGAAAGGGAGAAGAGUAGUGAUUCUGAUGAGAGGUAUGAGAGAGAAAGAGAAAGGGAGCGAGAGAAGGAUAAGUAUAGAGAAAAGGAAAAGGAUAGAGUAAAGAGUCGUGACCGUGAGAAGGAGAAAUCUAGAGAAAAGAAGAGGGAUAGGGAAAGGGAUAGAGAAAGAGAGGAUAGAGAGAAGGAGAGGGAGAAGGAGAAGAGAGAGAGGGCAAGGGAGAAGGAGAGGGAGAGAGAGAGGGAGAGGGAGAGAGAAAAGGAGAAGAGGGAACGCGAGAGGGAAGAUAGGGAGAGAAGUAGAGAAAGAGAGAAGAGGGAACGUGAGAAGGAGAAGGAGAAGGAGAAGGAGAAGGAGAGAGAGAAGGAGAGGGAGAGGGAGAGAAGGAUACGAGUAAGGGAAAAGCGUCGGGAAGUUGAUAGUGAUUAUAGUGAAGAUGAUUCCCAGGAGCACGACAAGAAACGUCGAAGGAGAGAUGAUGAUGAAAAUUAUGAAGAAAGAGAUCGUGAAAAGGGUAGGAGCGGGGGAAGCAAGCGCCGUGAGAACAACGAAGAUAGCCCGAGGAGGACUGAUGAGGAGGAUUCAGAGAAUAAAGACGAUAAGCCCACUCGAGAGGAGGAAUUAGAGGAUGAGCAAAAGAAAUUGGAUGAGGAGAUGGAAAAGAGGAGGAGAAGAGUUCAAGAGUGGCAGGAGCUGAGGAGAAAGAAGGAAGAGAUGGAGAGGGAAAAGCGGGGUGAAGUGAAUGUGGAAGAAGAAGAAAAAUCUGGAAAGGCAUGGACUCUUGAAGGAGAAUCUGACGAUGAGGAGGGUGCUCCCACGAUGAAACCAGAUAUGGAUGUGGACGAAGAUGAACUUACUGAUGAUACAACUGGGGAUGCUAUGGUGGUGGAUUCUGAGAAUGGAGACACUGCUCCAGAUUUAGAAGAAAGGGAAAAUGGUGCUGGUGGAGAUGAGGAAAUUGAUCCAUUGGAUGCCUUCAUGAAUGAUUUGGUGUUACCUGAAGUGGAGAAGCUGAAUAAUGCCGUUCCUACUUCAACUGCUGCUGACGAUAAUUCAGACAUGAAGAGAAAAGAUAAGAAAAAUAAUAUUAGUAAUGGAAAACUGGCGAGGAAUGGUCCAAGUAAGUCUAUGGGAAGAAUUAUCCAGGGGGAGGAUUCCGAAUCUGACCAUGGAGAUCUUGAGAAUGAAGGAGAUCCUUUAGAAGAUGAAGAUGAUGAUGAGUUCAUGAAAAGGGUCAAGAAGACAAAAGCUGAAAAACUGUCCAUAGUUGACCAUUCUAAGAUUGAUUAUAAACCAUUUCGCAAGAACUUUUAUAUUGAAGUAAAGGAGAUCUCGAGGAUGAGUGCUGAAGAGGUAGCUGUGUACAGAAAACAGCUGGAAUUGAAGCUUCAUGGAAAAGAUGUGCCAAGACCGAUUAAAACAUGGCACCAGACAGGACUCACGAGUAAAAUUCUGGAGACUAUAAAAAAGCUUAAUUAUGAGAAGCCAAUGCAAAUUCAAGCUCAGGCUCUCCCGGUAAUCAUGAGCGGUCGGGACUGCAUAGGUAUUGCAAAAACUGGUUCAGGCAAAACCCUUGCAUUUGUGCUGCCAAUGUUGAGGCACAUCAAGGACCAGCCACCUGUUGUAGCUGGAGAUGGGCCAAUCGGUCUGGUGAUGGCACCUACGAGAGAGCUUGUCCAGCAGAUACACAGUGAUAUAAAGAAGUUUGCCAAAGGAAUUGGUGUCAGAUGUGUGCCUGUUUAUGGAGGUUCUGGUGUUGCCCAGCAAAUUAGCGAGUUAAAGCGGGGUACUGAGAUUGUUGUCUGUACCCCAGGUAGGAUGAUUGACAUUCUUUGCACUAGCGGGGGGAAGAUAACGAAUCUGCGUAGGGUCACAUACUUGGUCAUGGAUGAAGCAGAUAGAAUGUUUGACAUGGGUUUUGAACCUCAGAUCACUAGAAUUGUCCAAAAUAUCCGUCCAGACCGUCAAACUGUUCUAUUUUCUGCCACUUUUCCUCGUCAGGUUGAGAUUCUGGCCCGUAGAGUCUUGAACAAACCUGUGGAAAUUCAGGUUGGUGGCAGGAGUGUUGUGAACAAGGACAUAACCCAGUUAGUCGAGGUGAGACCGGAAAGUGAAAGGUUCCUGAGACUGUUAGAAUUGCUUGGUGAAUGGUAUGAGAAGGGAAAGAUCUUAAUAUUUGUUCAUACCCAGGCGAAAUGUGAUGAUUUGUUUAGAGAUAUGCUAAGACAUGGGUAUCCGUGUCUUUCACUUCAUGGGGCCAAAGAUCAAACAGACAGGGAGUCCACAAUAAAUGAUUUCAAGAGCAACGUAUGCAAUUUACUGAUUGCUACUAGCAUUGCUGCCAGGGGACUCGAUGUGAAGGAGCUUGAACUGGUGAUUAAUUUUGAUGUUCCUAAUCAUUAUGAAGAUUAUGUCCACCGAGUUGGUCGGACAGGUCGAGCUGGUCGUAAAGGCUGUGCUAUAACAUUCAUAUCAGAGGAUGAGGCUAGAUAUGCGCCAGAUCUUGUCAAGGCCUUGGAACUUUCUGAACAAGUAGUUCCUGAUGAUCUAAAAGCCCUUGCUGAUGCUUUCAUGGCUAAAGUGAAUCAGGGGCUUGAGCAAGCUCACGGGACUGGUUAUGGCGGAAGUGGUUUUAAGUUCAAUGAAGAGGAGGAUGAAGUUAGGCGAGCGGCCAAAAAGGCACAGGCCAAAGAAUAUGGCUUUGAUGAAGACAAGUCUGAUUCGGAUGAUGAUGAUGAUGGGGUCCGGAAGGCAGGUGGUGACAUCUCACAGCAGGCUGCCCUUCAAUUAGCUGCCCUUGCUGCGGCUUCCAGAGCCAGCACAGCUUCAAAUGUGACUCCUAGCACAGUUGGUCAGAUACCAAAUGUACUUCCUGCUGCCCUUCCCAGUAUUCUUGGUUCCACAACUUCUGCAGUUCUACCAGGGACUCUGCCCGUUUUGCCCACUGACGGGGCUGCCCGUGCUGCAGCCAUAGCAGCUGCCAUCAAUCUACAGCAUAAUCUUGCAAAGAUUCAAGCUGAUGCCAUGCCCGAGCACUAUGAGGCUGAGUUGGAGAUAAAUGAUUUUCCUCAGAAUGCUCGGUGGAAAGUCACCCACAAGGAAACUUUGGGCCCUAUUUCAGAAUGGACUGGUGCAGCCAUUACCACCAGGGGUCAGUUUUUCCCUCCUGGCAAACCACCAGCUCAUGGAGAGCGGAAGCUCUACUUGUUCAUUGAAGGUCCUACCGAACAAUCUGUCAAGAGAGCUAAAGCAGAAUUGAAACGUGUUUUGGAGGACGUCACCAAUGCAGCACUAUCACUUCCGGGCGGAGCCCAACCAGGCAGAUAUUCAGUUAUUUAAGUGUAAGGACACAAUAGACAGCUAUGUCUUACUCAAUGUGUUUUUGCCUAUAUUAAUUUACAAUGAUUAUAAAGCUCUUUUGCUAGAAGAGACAGGAUGACCUGGUUUUCUCGAACAUUAUAUCUCCCAUUCCUAUUAGUUGAAUUUCUUCUUUAGGUUAUGAGUUGUACUUAGGGGACUCUUGUGAUUCUUUUCCCCUUUUGAUUCCCUUUUUUGUUUGUUUAUCUUGCGGAGCAUGGGAUGUAAGUCUGUGAUGGCGUGUGCCAGUCCCUGCCAAGCGCAAUUCCUGUUGUGACUGAGAGACUGAUUAGUUCCAUGGUGCGACUUCUUUUUCGACACUUAUUUGAUUGAAAGCAUCUAGUGCUUAUUUGAGGACGCUGGUUGCCUGCUCAGAGGGGUUGUGCAUCUUAAAUUAUGAAGAUAUGAAUGUGCAUGCCAGCCACUCUACCAGUACUAUCGAGGAGAAUGCAUGUUAAUAGUUUGAGGGUUGUGAUUCGUGAAUGAGUAGGGAUGGUGUUUCUCCGUAACCGUCGGUUCAUACUUUUUUUUAAGGAGAAGAUAUGUCGGUUCUGUGCCGGGAGUGUCCCUCUCCUUUUUAUGGUGCAGGUAUGCUGGAGGUGACUCUGAAGAAUUCUUCUGCUGGCGUCACUACUUCUCAUUGUGUACCGGCAUUAUGAUUUUUACACAGCCUUCUUUGCUCUUUUGAGCUGGAGGAGACUAUGACUGUACAGAGGUUGCCCAAUGUAUCUUCUCCUUUCUGACAUCCACAUGUGAAUCGCUAGAACAGUAGCAUAUACUUAAGCUGAGAUUGAACAACAGCAAGAUAUGUCAUGAAUUACAGUUACAUCCUUGUCAUUAA